rnacentral:rRNA from 1 species
AUUGAACGCUGGCGGCAGGCCUAACACAUGCAAGUCGAGCGAGCGGCGGACGGGUGAGUAAUGUCUGGGAAACUGCCUGAUGGAGGGGGAUAACUACUGGAAACGGUAGCUAAUACCGCAUACUAUCAGAUGUGCCCAGAUGGGAUUAGCUAGUAGGUGGGGUAACGGCUAACCUAGGCGACGAUCCCUAGCUGGUCUGAGAGGAUGACCAGCAACACUGGGACGGAGACACGGUCCAGACUCCUACGGUAGGCAGCAGUGGGGAAUAUUGCACAAUGGGCGCAAGCCUGAUUCAGCAAUGCCGCGUGUGUGAAGAAGGCCUUCGGGUUGUAAAGCACUUUCAGCGGGGAGGCGUUACCAGCAGAAGAAGCACCGGCUAACUCCGUGCCAGCAGCCGCGGUAAUUC